UUGACAAUUUUCAUAGUACUCAGACAGCCCAUCUUCAUCAGGGUUCACAGAGCGCUUCGGCGGGCGCGGGCCCGGGGACGACGUCCCCCGGCGACCAGGUGGCCCCGGUGGGCCCGCCAAAGCAACAGGUGUAUAGAGACAAGGGUGGGAGGUUGGGCCGCGAGGGCCCGCACUCGGUAAUGAUCCUUCCGCAGGUUCACCUACGGAAA
rnacentral:misc_RNA from 1 species